CCUACGGGUGGCAGCAGUCGAGAAUCAUUCACAAUGGGGGAAACCCUGAUGGUGCGACGCCGCGUGGGGGAAUGAAGGUCUUCGGAUUGUAAACCCCUGUCAUGUGGGAGCAAAUUAAAAAGAUAGUACCACAAGAGGAAGAGACGGCUAACUCUGUGCCAGCAGCCGCGGUAAUACAGAGGUCUCAAGCGUUGUACGGAAUCACUGGGCGUAAAGCGUGCGUAGGCUGUUGCGUAAGUCGUGUGUGAAAGGCGCGGGCUCAACCCGCGGACGGCACAUGAUACUGCGAGACUAGAGUAAGGGAGGGGGAACCGGAAUUCUCGGUGUAGCAGUGAAAUGCGUAGAUAUCGAGAGGAACACUCGUGGCGAAGGCGGGUUCCUGGACAUUAACUGACGCUGAGGCACGAAGGCCAGGGGAGCGAAAGGGAUUAGAUACCCGAGUAGUC
rnacentral:rRNA from 1 species